CUCCAGGGCUUCAGAUAAUUUCUGUGUUUCAGUUCUUUUCAUUCCAUCCCUCUCAAGUAGUGCUUUGUCUCAGGGGUUGUUGUUUAAAUUCAAGCUCCAUCAUUGUGACUGCUGUACUAGGAGAAAAGUCAGAAGAGUGGAAAAUUUUGAAGAAGUAUCUCUGGCAAGAAUCUAGAAAGUUGACCCCCCACAGCUGAAAGCACCUAUAAGCAAAUCUGUGGGAGAAUCAUUAAGACUGAAUGAGUUGUCAGUGUGGAGAGAAGUUUGAGGUAAAUGAAAG
rnacentral:lncRNA from 1 species